CUUAGUUGGAAACACUGGUGGUGGCUUCCCACAAGCAUCAUUCAUUUGCAGUCUGGACAUGGAUGGGUAAAACACUACAUCACAGCCAAAAGAUGUAUCUUCAGAGAAUAUUGACGCUGUCAUCCCAGAGGAGAUAUGGAGAGGGACGGGAGCCACUGUUAAUGGGAAGAAAAUUGAGAGCGAGCUGUUCCUUCCAUUGAUUAUUAUUGGGAAUGUGAGUGAGUCAACAAAGAUGGAUGGCACCGUUUGCUCGCCGAGGACCAGCCGGAGGCUCCAAGACAGGCCGUGAUCCAACUCUGUUAAAUGAGAACGACAGCAAGGAUACACAGGGAGCAGUGAUGGCCCGCUUUCUCCUCCCUCUCUCUGUUCCCUGAAUAGCUCUGACACAAAGGAUAUCGUUAUUUCUCCUCUAAUUACCAGAUGGUGAACUGUUUGUCUGUCCCCCACUCCUCUGCUCUCACCCCCAGAAAUCAAGUCCUCUGUGAUGCUGACCCUGUGCAGUUAUGAAACAGUCUGCUGGGCCAGAGUGAUCCCUCUUUUCUGAUUCCAUUUCUACCACUAACACCUAUGAGAUCAACUGUAAAGCACUUCUCCCCUGAGACCACUCAGUGUUGUCUAAUCUCAUUAGGCUGGAGCAGGAUUGGACUGAUCAUUUUCAUGUUAGUCUAUGACAGGGAACGUAAUCAUCAUAGCAUGACAUGGUUAAAGGAACUAAAUUUAAUGCAAAAUUCACAAAGCAGGGUGCCCACAUAACAAUUUGUAACAUCUGUUUAAUCAGUAUUUAGAUUUAAAACGUGAAUGACCAUCAAAUAUGAUGAGGAAAGAAUCGUGAAACAAAUAAUGUGCUUCCUACUCUAAUAGUGUGCGGGGCACUCUAGAUCAGUGCUUCUCAAAGUGUGGUACGAGUACCACUGGUGGUAAU